rnacentral:misc_RNA from 1 species
UGUGGGAGCGAGCCUGCUCGCGAUGGCGUCAGUCCAGCCAAUAUUCCAUUGACUGACCCACCGCCAUCGCGAGCAGGCUCGCUCCCACA